AUGAACGCUAGCGGCGGCUAACACAUGCAGUCGAGGGGAGAGUUCUUCGAACUUGAACCGGCGCACGGGUGCUACGCGUAUGCAAUCUACCUUAUACUAAGGAUAGCCCAAAAAUUUGGAUUAAUACCUUAUAGUUAAAAUUGGCAUCAUUUUAUUAAAGAUUUAUUGGUAUAAGAUGAGCAUGCGUCCCAUUAUUAUUGGUAAGGUAACGGCUUACCAACAUGAUGGGUAGGGCCUGAAGGAGAUCCCCCCCUGGUACUGAACACGGACCAACUCCUACGGAGGACAUGAGAAUAUUGGUCAUGGACGGAAUCUGAACCACCUGCCCGGCAGAGAACAUCUAUGGGUGUAACUGCUUUUGACGGAAAAAAAAGCUCGUGUAGCUUACUGACGUACCGUAGAAUAAGAUCGGCUAACUCCGCGCCAGCACCGCGGAUACGGAGAUCCAGCGUUAUCCGGGAAUCAUUGGGUUAAAGGGUCCGUAGGCGGCCUUAUAAGUCAGCGGUGAAAGUUUUUGGCUUACCAAAAAAUUGCCAUUGAUACUGUAGGGCUUGAAUUAUUGUGAAGUAACUAGAAUAUGUAGUGUAGCGGUGAAAUGCUUAGAUAUUACAUGGAAUACCAAUUGCGAAGGCAGGUUACUAACAAUGGAUUGACGCUGAUGGACGAAAGCGUGGGUAGCGAACAGGAUUAGAUACCCUGGUAGUCCACGCCGUAAACGAUGGAUACUAGCUGUUUGUUCGAAAGGAUGAGUGGCUAAGCGAAAGUGAUAAGUAUCCCACCUGGGGAGUACGGGCGCAAGCCUGGAACUCAAAGGAAUUGACGGGGGCCCGCACAAGCGGUGGAGCAUGUGGUUUAAUUCGAUGAUACGCGAGGAACCUUACCAGGGCUUAAAUGUGUUUUGACCGAUCUGGAAACAGAUCUUUCGCAAGACAAAAUACAAGGUGCUGCAUGGUUGUCGUCAGCUCGUGCCGUGAGGUGUCAGGUUAAGUCCUAUAACGAGCGCAACCCCUGUUGUUAGUUGCCAGCGAGUGAUGUCGGGAACUCUAACAAGACUGCCAGUGUAAACUGUGAGGAAGGUGGGGAUGACGUCAAAUCAUCACGGCCCUUACGUCCUGGGCCACACACGUGCUACAAUGGGCGGUACAGAGAGCAGCUACCUAGUGAUAGGAUGCGAAUCUAUAAAACCGUUCUCAAUUCGGAUCGGAGUCUGCAACUCGACUCCGUGAAGCUGGAAUCGCUAGUAAUCGGAUAUCAGCCAUGAUCCGGUGAAUACGUUCCCGGGCCU
rnacentral:rRNA from 1 species